GAGCAACGCGGGAUCCGAAGUUCUUUACAGCCGCCCGGCCGGAGUGGGUUUUCAUGCCUCUGCUUUCCGUUUGUUUUCCGGCCCUUCCCCCGAGGCUGGAGCGUGGACAGCGGAGGGCGCCGCAACAAAGGCCUUCUAGAUUAAAAGGACACCUUGCCCAGACUUUGCCUGUAGAAUUCAUCACUUCCAGCCGGGUGACUUGGUGUUAAUCAAACCCUGGAAAGAAGACAAACUCCAACCAAGCUGGAAAGGCCCUUGUCAAGUGCUCCUGACCACUGAGACGGCUGUGUGGACUGCUGGAAAAGGUUGUACUCAUUAUACACGAGUCAAGGGGCCAAUAAAAGAGACCUCAAAGGGAAGGGAAAGGACCAAUGAGCAGCCUUUAAAGGGUCUUUUCCAAUGAGCUGGCUCUUCACAUCAGAUGGCGAAAGUAUUGGUGCUUCAGCUUCAGUCUUUCCAAGCCUGCUACUUUCUUGCUGUGGCCUCCAAACCAGCAUUAGCAUCACCAGGAAAUUUGUUGAAAAUACAGACUCCCAGGUUCCGACCUAGACCUGAAUCAGAAUCUGCAUUUUAGCAAGAUGCUCACUUGCUAGCUUGGAUUUUGCCUCCAGGCUGCAGGCACAGGCCACAGAGGUUGGCUAGAAAUUCUUCAGGAAUAGCUAGAAUGCCAGUGCAGGAAAGGACACCAGGGGUCAUCAGGCCUGUCUGCAGUGCACAGACUUAGUUUUCCUAUGCCUUAUUGGUACCACUAUGGGCUUCCCUAGUGACUCAAUGGUAAAGAAUCCGCCUGAUAAUGCAGGAGGUGCGGGUUUAAUCCCUGUGUUGGGAAGAACCCCUGGAGGAGGAAAUGGCAACCCACUCCGGUAUCCUUGCCUGGGAAAUCUCGUGGACAGAGGAGCCUGGCAGGCUACAGUCCCUGGAGUUGCAAAAAGAGUCAGGCACGACUUAGCAACUAAAGAACAACAAUCACUAUAUUCAUUACACUUUGUUAUCUGUAACUUCUCUUGGCUAAGUGUUCUUGGCUGUUGCCAUGUCUCUGAACCCUCUGACCUGUAAUGAACUUAAUACUUUAUGUGCCUUUUAUUAGUUGAAGUUGACAUUAGAUACUGUAUAUCACCGCUUCAGAGAGAAAACCACUGAGCCAUAGCUGUAAAAAUAAACAUGAAAACAAAACAGUGUUUUAUAAUUCUGGGUGGAUAUUGUUGCCUGCCAAGGUGCUGAGCCCCAAGCCUGCUUUUUUUUUUUUUUAAUGUAAAGAGAUUAGCAAAGUAUUAGAGGGCUAUUAAAGGCAUAUUAUCACUCAGCUGAAACUUCUUGACACAGUGAGAAGGAAUGAAAGAACUGAAAAUGAGGUAACUCUAAUCCAUGAGAUUCUGUGUCAUUUAAUGCCCUGUCUGCAUACCUCCAAAAGUCAACUUCAUGGACCACAUCCAUCCCACGCUUUGGGAGACUCCCAGCAACAUGUCAUCACUGGCUAAAUAUAAUCCAGUUGUGGUUUCUCAAGCGACGUUAAACCCAUCACCCUGAUGUUCUGCACGCUCAGUUGUCUGACUCUUUGCGACCCCAUAGACUGCAGCCUGCCAGGCUCCUCAGUCCAUGGAAUUCACCAGACAAGAAUACUGGAGUGGGUUGCCACGUCCUCCUCCAGGGGAUCUCCCUGACCCAGGGACUGAACCCAUGUCUCCUUCAUUGGCAGGUAGCGUCUUUACUGAGCUACCGGGGAAGCCCCAUCAGUCCGAUGAGCCAACUAAAUUCCCCUCGGUUUCACAGUUUUCAUCCCAGUGGCCAUGGCUGGCUUUGUCACGUCCCUUAGACCUUCCUCUGCUUUCUUUAUCUGGUCUCCUGUAACCCAUUCAC